rnacentral:tRNA from 1 species
GCACGAGUGCCAGAGCGGUCAAAUGGGCUGGGUUUAGGUCCCAGUGGCUUAGUGUCUUCGCAGGUUCGAAUCCUGUCUCGUGCA